rnacentral:misc_RNA from 1 species
CCGUUAACAUCCGGAUCGACUUCAACACGGAUGACUACCUCGAAGGUCCAUUCGCAGCGCAGCAAGAAGCUGCACCAGCUGUCUGCCAAGACGAGCAGGGUGAACCGCAACCGCAAGGCACCUCGUCUUUACAUGAAGGGCACGCUCGCCGGCUACACGCGUGGCCUGCAUGGUCAGACCAAGCAAACUGCACUGGUUCGCGUUGAGAACGUCAACACCCGCGAGGACGCCACGUGGUAUGUGGGCAAGCGCGUCUGCUACGUCUACCACGGCAAGAAGGUGAAGCGGUGUGUGCGUUGGAGCAAGGCGCCCGCGCGCCGCAGCACCACUCGUGCCUUGUGGGGUCGCGUGACACGCCCGCACGGUAACGCCGGUAUGAUGCGCGUCAAGUUCAACGGCGCGUCUGUGCCGGCGUCCGCCAUUGGCCGCCGCAUCCGUGUGUACCUGUACCCGAGCCAGAUCUAGAGAGCCCCACGAGCCACGAAGAGGGAGGGCGCCCGUAGCGGGGUUUUGAGUCGAUCUCGAGCACGAUCUCUUUGUGGGAGCUUUCGCUUCGUCGACUGACUCUCUGCACGGUACCGGACAGGGCGGUGAGGGAUGGAUACGACUGAGUUACGAAAGCAGGAAAACAAGACGGCACGGCUGGAGGGUUGACUCUCGCAGCUCCUCCACACCCUUCUCUUCUUACAAGUUGUGGGUGUUGGCGGCGGCGGCGUGAGUGGUCUCGGUUUCCGUACACCAUCUCUUCCUUUUCUUUUGUUCUUUUCGCUUUCAUUAUCUACGACGGACAAAAACGAAAACAAAAACACACACAAACAUACACCCGAACCCGCAAAUAACCCACGAUGCCGCACCGGCCACUUCACGUGAUGGCCGGUGAAUGGAGCAGUAGAUGGGGUUGUGACGCGCACGCUUCGCUAGAGGAGGAUGAGAAGUAGGAUGCAUCGCCAGCGUUGUCGAAAGGCUCCACUGGGACUGUCGCUUCAAUUCCAACUGUUCAGGCAGCGCCGAUGUUCACACACACCGAAAGAGGAAGACGGUGCUGCACUACUCGUUAGCCCUGCCUGGGGAGUUCGUGCGUGUGUGUGUGCCGCUCUCCCUCUGGACGCCGCUGUCUUUCUGAUGUGACCACUUCAGAGAUGCCGCCCUCUGCAUAAGGGCUGUUGCCAUGCACACGCACGCGCGCACACAGGCGCACAUAUAUAUGGACACAGACAAGACUUUUCUCCUCUCUAUGCACCCCGCUCCCUCUCGCUCUCGCUCGUGCUGUUUUUGUUGUUUCACUAUCCUGUUCGGGAGGGGUACCGUUUUAUGGGGCAUACCUGCACACAG